CACCGACUAACUAGUCCAUCAAAUUAAGACCAAAACCCAAACACAUAACCCCUAAUAAAUUUAACAAUACUAACUAAAACAUUCUGCCCCUUAGUAAAGGAGAUUGAACAGGAAUUUAGGAACUACAAAGUAAGUACCGCAAGGGAACGUUGAAAUAGAGAUGAAAAAGCCCAGUAAAGAAAAACAAAGCAGAGACACAACCUUGUACCUUUUGCAUCAUGAUUUAGCAAGCAAGUUUUAGGCAAGAAGAGCCUUAGUCCAACAAGCCCGAAACUAGAUGAGCUACUCCGAGCCAGCAUAAUAAUUUAGUGCCAACCCGUCCCUGUAGCAAAAGUUGUGGGAAGAGCUCCGAGUAGAGGUGACAAACCUAUCGAAUCUAGUAAUAGCUGGUUUUCUGAGAAAUAGAUACUAGUUUAGCCUUUAGAACUCCCCGCCCCCCGCACCCAGCAAUUUAAUUUACUAUUAAAACUAAAAAGGAUAACGAGAGACCUAAAGAGUUAGUCAAACGAGUUUCAGCCCGCUUGACUAGAGCAACAACUCCCGCUAGCAGGGUAAAGAUCAUAACACUUAAGGUUAAAUACUAAUGUGGGCCUAAAAGCAGCCACCAUACUAAAAAGCGUCAAAGCUUAAGUACACUACCUCCAAUAAUAAUGUAAAUUACUCUCAACCCGCUACUUAUUAUAUCAGAAUAUCUUAUUAAACAAUAAGAGAAACUAUGCUAAUAUUAGUAAUAAGAGGCCAGACCCUCUCCUCGCACAAGUGUAACUCGCAAUGGACCCCCCACCGAGAAAUAACGACCCUAAAAGAAUAGAAGGUAAAGAGCUUAACAUCAAAUACCAGAAAAUCCCCCUAACCUAAUCGUUACCCCCACACUGGAGUGCCAUCGAGGAAAGAUAAAAAGGGAGAGAAGGAACUCGGCAAACUACAAACCCCGCCUGUUUACCAAAAACACCGCCUCUUGAUAUGACCAUAUAAGAGGUCGAACCUGCCCAAUGACAACUGAUUUAAUGGCCGCAGUAUUUUGACUGUGCUAAGGUAGCGUAAUCAUUUGCCCCUUAAAUGAGGGCCAGUAUGAAUGGUUUGACGAGGGUUUAACUGUCUCCUCUCCCCCAUCAAUGAAAUUGAUCUCUCCGUGCAAAAGCAGAGAUAAACCUAUAAGACGAGAAGACCCUGUGGAGCUUAAGAUAAAGCUUUAGACCCCGCCAAAGAACCUAAAUAUAGAAUAAAGCCAAAAGUAACUAAACACUAUCUUCAGUUGGGGCGACUGCGGAACAAACAAAACUCCCGCGAAGAAUGAGAGAACCCACCUCCCAAACCCUAGAACCACCCUUCAAAGUAAUAGAACCUCUAACUUUUCCUGAUCCGACCAGUUGAUCAACGAAUAAAGUUACCCCAGGGAUAACAGCGCAAUCCCCUUUUAGAGCUCCUAUCGAAAAGGGGGUUUACGACCUCGAUGUUGGACCAGGGCAUCCUAAUGGUGCAACCGCUAUUAAGGGUUCGUUUGUUCAACGAUUAAAGCCCUACGUGAUCUGAGUUCAGACCGGAGCAAUCCAGGUCAGUUUCUAUCUAUAAACUGUUCUUCUCUAGUACGAAAGGACCAAGAAGAAGAGGCCCAUACUUUAUGCAAACCUCACUUUAAAUUAAUGAACUCAACUCAAUUAAUAUAGAAGCACACCCGAACAACUAAAUACCAUAGAACA
rnacentral:rRNA from 1 species